rnacentral:rRNA from 1 species
UACGAAGGGGGCUAGCGUUGCUCGGAAUUACUGGGCGUAAAGGGCGCGUAGGCGGACAUUUAAGUCGGAGGUGAAAUCCUGGAGCUCAACUCCAGAACUGCCUUCGAUACUGGCGAGCUCGAGUCCGGGAGAGGUGAGUGGAACUGCGAGUGUAGAGGUGAAAUUCGUAGAUAUUCGCAAGAACACCAGUGGCGAAGGCGGCUCACUGGCCCGGUACUGACGCUGAGGUGCGAAAGCGUGGGGAGCAAACAGG